GACGAACGCUGGCGGCGUGCUUAACACAUGCAAGUCGAACGGUGACCUCGAGAGCUUGCUCUCGGGUGAUCAGUGGCGAACGGGUGAGUAACACGUGAGUAACCUGCCCCAGACUCUGGAAUAACAAUUGGAAACAGUUGCUAAUACCGGAUACGACACGAACGGGCAUCCGUAUCGUGUGGAAAGUUUUUCGGUCUGGGAUGGACUCGCGGCCUAUCAGCUUGUUGGUGAGGUAAUGGCUCACCAAGGCGACGACGGGUAGCCGGCCUGAGAGGGCGACCGGCCACACUGGGACUGAGACACGGCCCAGACUCCGACGGGAGGCAGCAGUGGGGAAUAUUGCACAAUGGGCGAAAGCCUGAUGCAGCGACGCCGCGUGAGGGAUGAAGGCCUUCGGGUUGUAAACCUCUUUCAGUAGGGAAGAAGCGAAAGUGACGGUACCUACAGAAGAAGCACCGGCUAACUACGUGCCAGCAGCCGCCGUAAAAC
rnacentral:rRNA from 1 species